UGGGGAAUAUUGGACAAUGGGCGCAAGCCUGAUCCAGCAAUGCCGCGUGUGUGAAGAAGGCCUGCGGGUUGUAAAGCACUUUCAGUGGGGAAGAAAUGCCUGGGGUGAAUAGCCUUAGGUGUUGACGUUACUCACAGAAGAAGCACCGGCUAACUCCGUGCCAGCAGCCGCGGUAAUACGGAGGGUGCAAGCGUUAAUCGGAAUCACUGGGCGUAAAGCGCACGUAGGCGGUUGAGUCAGUCCGAUGUGAAAGCCCUGGGCUUAACCUGGGAAUGGCAUUGGAUACUGCUCAGCUAGAGGCUGAUAGAGGGGGGUGGAAUUCCAGGUGUAGCGGUGAAAUGCGUAGAGAUCUGGAGGAACACCAGUGGCGAAGGCGGCCCCCUGGCUCAAGCCUGACGCUGAGGUGCGAAAGCGUGGGGAGCAAACA
rnacentral:rRNA from 1 species